rnacentral:rRNA from 1 species
GAUGAACGCUGGCGGCGUGCUUAACACAUGCAAGUCGAACGGUGAAGGCGGAGCUUUCUCUGCUGGAUCAGUGGCGAACGGGUGAGUAACACGUGAGCAAUCUGCCCCUGACUCUGGGAUAAGCGCUGGAAACGGCGGCUAAUACUGGAUACGAGCUGCUAAGGCAUCUUGAGCAGCGGGAAAUAAUUUCGGUCGGGGAUGAGCUCGCGGCCUAUCAGCUUGUUGGUGAGGUAAUGGCUCACCAAGGCGUCGACGGGUAGCCGGCCUGAGAGGGUGACCGGCCACACUGGGACUGAGACACGGCCCAGACUCCUACGGGAGGCAGCAGUGGGGAAUAUUGCACAAUGGGCGGAAGCCUGAUGCAGCAACGCCGCGUGAGGGACGACGGCCUUCGGGUUGUAAACCUCUUUUGGCAGGGAAGAAGCGAAAGUGACGGUAACUGCAGAAAAAGCGCCGGCUAACUACGUG